rnacentral:rRNA from 1 species
CGGUGUUCAACUGGCGUGUCCGCGGGACGUCCUGCCGGUGGGCUUAGCCCGCAAGGGCGGCCCAACUUCAAAUCCCAUCGCGGUGCUCUUCACUGAGUGUCGAGGUGGGCCGGCACGUUUACUUUGAACAAAUUAGAGUGCUUAAAGCAGGCUAAAACUUCGCCUGAAUACUGUGUGCAUGGAAUAAUGGAAUAGGACCUCGGUUCUAUUUUGUUGGUUUUCGGAACCCCGAGGUAAUGAUUAAUAGGAACGGAUGGGGGCAUUCGUAUUGCGACGUUAGAGGUGAAAUUCUUGGAUCGUCGCAAGACGGACAGAAGCGAAAGCAUUUGCCAAAAACGCUUUCAUUGAUCAAGAACGAAAGUUAGAGGUUCGAAGGCGAUCAGAUACCGCCCUAGUUCUAACCAUAAACGAUGCCAGCUAGCGAUCCGUCGACGUUCCUCCGAUGACUCGACGGGCAGCUUCCGGGAAACCAAAGCUUUUGGGUUCCGGGGGAAGUAUGGUUGCAAAGCUGAAACUUAAAGGAAUUGACGGAAGGGCACCACCCAGGAGUGGAGCCUGCGGCUUAAUUUGACUCAACACGGGAAACCUCACCAGGCCCGGACACCGGAGGGAUUGACAGAUUGAGAGCUCUUUCUUGAUUCGGGCGGGGUGGGUGGUGCAUGGCCGUUUUUAGUUGGUGGAGCGAUUUGUCUGGUUAAUUCUGAUAACGAACGAGACUCUAGCCUGCUAACUAGGCGUAUUUUCGACAUCUCAAAGGUCCGUCGUCCCGGCCCUCGGGUCGUGGGCGUGCGCGAUUUUUACUGUCGGCGUACUAUCAAUUCUUCUAGAGGGACAGGUGG